rnacentral:rRNA from 1 species
ACGAACGCUGGCGGCGUGCUUAACACAUGCAAGUCGAGCGGUAAGGCCCUUUCGGGGGUACACGAGCGGCGAACGGGUGAGUAACACGUGGGUGACCUGCCCUUAGCUCUGGGAUAAGCCUGGGAAACUGGGUCUAAUACCGGAUAUGACUCCAUGACGCAUGUUGUGGGGUGGAAAGCCUUGUGCGGCUAGGGAUGGGCCCGCGGCCUAUCAGCUUGUUGGUGGGGUGAUGGCCUACCAAGGCGACGACGAGUAGCCGGCCUGAGAGGGCGACCGGCCACACUGGGACUGAGACACGGCCCAGACUCCUACGGGAGGCAGCAGUGGGGAAUCUUGCGCAAUGGGCGAAAGCCUGACGCAGCGACGCCGCGUGAGGGAUGACGGCCUGGUGUAACUCUUACUANCUAGCGAAGACGAAGUAGACGGUAGGGCGAGAAGAAGACGACCGG